rnacentral:rRNA from 1 species
CUACGGGCGGCAGCAGUGGGGAAUAUUGCACAAUGGGCGCAAGCCUGAUGCAGCCAUGCCGCGUGUGUGAAGAAGGCCUUCGGGUUGUAAAGCACUUUCAGCGGGGAGGAAGGCGGUGAGGUUAAUAACCUCAUCGAUUGACGUUACCCGCAGAAGAAGCACCGGCUAACUCCGUGCCAGCAGCCGCGGUAAUACGGAGGGUGCAAGCGUUAAUCGGAAUUACUGGGCGUAAAGCGCACGCAGGCGGUCUGUCAAGGCGGAUGUGAAAUCCCCGGGCUCAACCUGGGAACUGCAUUCGAAACUGGCAGGCUAGAGUCUUGUAGAGGGGGGUAGAAUUCCAGGUGUAGCGGUGAAAUGCGUAGAGAUCUGGAGGAAUACCGGUGGCGAAGGCGGCCCCCUGGACAAAGACUGACGCUCAGGUGCGAAAGCGUGGGGAGCAAACAGGAUUAGAUACCCUUGUAGUC